UACCUCAUCAACCAGAAAGAAUUCCUUCUAGUCAAUGAGGUAGCUGUACCUCAUUGUCUGGCCCUUCCGGUUGACAAGGAAGCUAUACCUCAUUGACUGGAAGGACUACCUUGUUGAUGAGGCA
rnacentral:miRNA from 1 species